UGUUUUGCAUCAGUGCUUCGUGACAUCAGCUGUAUUGAGUGUUUUCGCCGACGGCUUACUACCACAAUGGCGGGAUCUGCGUUCACCGCCUUCGUGUCUCGGUGCGUCUUUGUACGUCGCACGUUCGGAUAACACUUUUUCCGACGGCUGGACAUCCUUCUUGUACCUUGGCGCUAGCUGGAUGACGGGACCUCAUCAUGAUCAGUGUAUUGCUUGCCUAUGUCUACAAGAACCGUCACGCGUGGCCUGUGACAGCAAGCUUUUGUGGGCAGCAAGUGCUCUCCUACGAAGGCUGGCCUACUCUGGCAGCGGCGGCAAUCAUCUUCAAGAUUUAUCCAUGAUCACCUUUGCUGCUAUUUGUCACUCUUGUUAAUUGCACUUUCUGCAUCUUUUCUAAUUUAUUAGGUAAUAAAGUAUGAGUAUGUGACAUGGUGUGAAGUAGAUGUCUUGCUGCAUUU
rnacentral:lncRNA from 1 species